rnacentral:tRNA from 1 species
AAAGGGAGACCUAAUUCAGGUAGGAGACGAAAAAAAAGUAGUCCCUACCAAGAAUCAAUCCCAAAAGGUCGGAGCGAGGCGAAAUUGGCUUUCAAACUAGGUUCUGGGUUCACACAAGACCUGAAUCAGGAACAAGGGCUAUUAGCUCAGGUGGUUAGAGCGCACCCCUGAUAAGGGUGAGGUCCCUGGUUCGAGUCCAGGAUGGCCCACCUGUACAGGUGGCAAAAAGAAAGAAAAGAAGCGAGGAAUCAGCACCUUAUCUUACUUAUAUAGUAAGAGAGAAUGCUGGCUCUGAGUUCAGAGUCCAGAGGAACCUUGAAAACUGCAUAGAGCUAGGUGAAAAAGCCAAAAAAGAAGACCGCAAG